CGUAUACCUGAUUUAUCAUCUUUUACAAAUAGUUACAAGUAUGGCUAUAUUAACACGUUUAUUCCGUACUAUGUUCUACAUUGGAAACAGUAUGACAUUACUUUUGAGCUUGACAGAGAUUCGGCAUGCGUGCUUUCUGGUAAUGCUGGUGCUCUUUCUGGCUUUUGGUUUAUUAAGGCACCUUAAGCGUCCACUUAAUUUGAGAAACGCCAUUGUGGCCACCAUCUUGACCUUCCAUUGGGUAUCAAUUUUUUUUCUUGUAAACCUCUUCUUAAACUAUAUCGGAUCUUUUUUGAAUAAUUAAGUUUAAUUCGCACUAAAUUUAUAUUAACAUUUUCUACUGAUUGAUUGUGGUAUUCCACAAGCUAAUGAAAAUUUCAGUUUACAUUUUUUAAAAAACUACAAACAAAUUAAUUUUCUGGUCCUCUCUGUCAAAUCAUAUCUUUAAAAUAAUGUAUGUGAUUUCCUAUAUUUUACAAUAUUCUACAAUUUACAAUUACUUUGGAGGAAAUAUAUUGUGCUCCUAGUGGGAAGUAAAUACGACAUGGAUGCGUUCUGAUUAUUCUGGUGCUUCUUCUGGCUCUAUGUUUAUUAACGCAAAUUAAGCAUCCAUUUACUUUGAGAAACACCGUUGUAUCCACCGUCUUGACGGAUAUUUAUUGGUUUUAUUGGUUGCUAACCUUUUGUAAAACUAUUUUGGAUCAUUCAACGACUAAUUCCAUUUUCGUUUUUUGAAAAGAAAUUAAUUUUCUUUACUUUCUGAUGCUGUCUACCAAAUCAUAAAAAUAAUUUAUCUCACCAAUACAAAAAAAUCUACAAUUAUUUUCGAGAUUAAACAGAAAACUUUAUGGUCUGCAUAUGGUUGUACGUUUAUUGAAGUAUGGCCUCCCACUGGAAGUUUAUAUUUUUUACAUUUCAUUAUUCCAAAGAUGUGACAAAAAUUCAUUUUUUACCCCAAUAUAUAUAUUUAUAUUAAAC